rnacentral:lncRNA from 1 species
AAAUCACAGGAUUCAUCAAAAUGCUAAUAAACAAGCUUUGGUUAAAGGAUAUUUUGUUUCCUUAUUCGUGGAUUUAUUUCCAGAAGAGAUAAUGUUCUCUAUAUAUGCCAGUCUCAGAUUUACAUAAUAAGAUAAUCUUAGGGGGGCAAGUCAAGAUAACCCGUAUAAAAGGGGCAUAUUCUGUGGAAAAUGCAAGAACAACGAAUUAGUUCUUGCCAUCUAUUUUUGGCAGUCAGUCUCCCAUUCCUCAACACCAAAUAGAACCAUCUUGGCCAGAGGUCCAUGGAACCAAAACAGUUCUUAAAAAUCAAGAAUAUAUUGUUGGCCACAACAAUUUGGUUUACACAAUUGUUUCAUAGAGAGUUUCUUCUCAGUAGCAAUUUCGGCCACUACUUGAAAGUAGUGGUUCAGCCUCAGUGAAGUAAAAUGUAAACAUUAGCAGAAACAAAAUGAAUCCGUUCCACUAAAAACGAAUUAGGCAAGCCUUAAAGAAGUAUCGGUGGGUGCUAUAAAUGUCAGUAGAAACAAAACUUGCUGAGCAAACACUGUUAGAGAAAAAGGGAAAGCUAGUGCUGUCAAAUUCCAUCUAGACUAAGUGCUAUAACAAGAGCCUAUCCGCAGAAGAACAACUCACUUAAGGAUAAUCUUCAGCCAUUUACUACACAGAAGAAGCGACUAACAAACACGUGCAGUAAGGUCCUUGACAGAAUAAUAGAUAACCAUAACUUAAACUUGGACUAUGAGCAGUCAGAGAUUACUAGUUCUAUUGCAGAAAGAAGAAUUGGGAAUGCCCGCACCAUUGACAGCUGCUAAUGAGCGUGAGUUGCAGUUAUAUCAUCUGCCUAGAAUAUGAAAAAUAUUGGAAUAUUUUAAGGUGUUCAAAGUUGAUAGGGCACAACACCAGCACGAGCUGUGGCAUAAUCAUCUGCAAGCCCAGGAACAGAGUCCUGGUGACUGUCAAUGCACCUCAAUUUGAAAGUCUCCUCUCCAUAUUGAGCGAAUGAAUAAAAACUCCGAUUGCUAUCCAGCAAUCCCUUAGCCAGCAGGACCUUCAUGACACAAUACCGGGGCACUAGCCUCUUCUCCAGGCUGUAUCCGAACAAGGCAGGCCUUUGCAGAAUGUACUGAGGCUCCAGUCCAACCUCGUUGAUCAAGAACCGAAUCUUGCGGUGAAGGCUCUCCUCAGAUAUUGUUAGAAUGCUUGGCAUCUUGGACACUGCAGUGGCAAUUUCACUCUCGUGGCAACCAAGAGUACUCUUCAAAAGUUCGAGCCUGGCAGCAACCUUCUCUUUGCUGAUAUUUGAGACGACCGCCACCGCCUGCCAGAACAUUCGCGAGCUGCAAGGAACCCCAAGCUCUUCCGCGCGUAGCACUAUCUCCUUGAUGCUCUCUGGUCUGAAUGUAAGCACCCUGGCUCUGAGUGAGAACAGACGGGCAAUAUCUCGAACACUUAGGCCGCACUGAUGAAGCAGCGCGAUGUUAGGCUUGAUCACCCUUUCAAGAUCUGACCAUAGAAUGCAGUUGUGAUUCUUUAAGAUCACGAGGAGCCUUUCAAAUGAGCCGUAGAAGGAGAUGAAGAACUCGAGCUUUGGAACGACGUCGCAGCCGCGGACAGCGCGUGAGCCGACCAGGAGGAAGCGAACGAUCUGGGGAGCGGACAGACCGAGGCGGUCGCGGAGCGCGAGCAGGCGAGGGCCGACCUUCUUGGGCGAGGAGCGGAGGAGAAGCGGGUCCGCGACGACGAUGUCGGCGAUGUCGGCGCGGGAGAGGCCGACGCCAGAGAGCAGGGCGAGGACGGCGUCGGGGUUGGAGGCGGAGUUGAGACGGCAGUUGGAGAUCUCCUCGAAUGCCUUCCUGCUAUCUUUAGAUGCUCCAUCGAAUGCCUUCUGGGCUGUCUUCCUGGCUUGAGCUGCGGCUAGGCCGCAGGCGGCGACGAGGUAGUCCUCAAGGGAGAAUGGGGCGGCGGAGGCCGAGGUGGAGGUGGAGAGGAGGCAGGCGCGGUGGUAGAUAGGGGAGGGAAGCGGGGAGACCGCGCGAAGGAGAGGGAGGACAUGCCUUCGGAGGAACAGCAUGGCGGCGGUGGCGGAGGCGAUUCGGCGUCGGCGGUCUUCCUCAGUUGAGAUUGAGAGGAGCAGCCCGCGUGAGGACCAGCCCCACUUCCAAGCUUUUUCUUUUUUAUUUUUCUUUUCUUUUUUGCGUGGCAAAAUAGAUGCCCCUCUUUCUUUUUCCAGCUGCUACUCGUUUUCAAUUAUUUUCUCGUCGAGCCCAUUUGAGCAGCGGAGUUUACCGUCUUAGGGCCUGUUUGGCAACCAAGUGUUAAAAUUUAACACCUGUCACAUCGGAUGUUUGGAUGCUAAUUAGGAGUAUUAAAUAUAGGCUAAUUACAAAACUAAUUGCACAGAUGAAGUGUAAUUCACGAGACGAAUCUAUUAAGCCUAAUUAGUCCAUGAUUUGACAAUGUGGUGCUACAGUAACCAAUUGCUAAUGAUGGAUUAAUUAGGCUUAAUAGAUUCGUCUCGCGGAUUAGCACAGGAUUCUGCAAUUAGUUUUAUAAUUAGCUCAUAUUUAGUUCUCCUAAUUAGCAUCCGAACAUCCGAUGUGACACUGUUAAAGUUUAACACCUCGUAUCCAAACACCCCCUUAGUUUUGAUUUUUGAACUUUGAAACGCAUAAUUUAAACAAAAUUAUUUGUAUUGGUGUUGGAAUUUUUUUUACGGCGAAAAAUAAUUGGCCAGGGUCUCAAGAAGUUCCUUCACUGCAGUAGUGUACAAAUAAACACUACUCCCUCCGUUCCAAAUUGUACGUCGUUUUACUUUUUCUCAUAGAUAUUAUUAUGCAUGUAGAGAAACAAUAUCUAUACAUCUAGAGAAACUAAAACGACCUACGAUUUGGAACGGAAGGAGUAGGCAUUAAAGUAAUCCAUUCGGCUAAUAAAUAGAUACAAACUAGGCAAAGCCACAUAGAAUUAUCAGCGUAUCAUCACUGGAUGAACACACACGAUGAACAAACAUGGUCAGACAAUACGCGAAGCUGAUACAGUGAUACUGCCAAUCAUACAAUCAUCAGCAAAUGAGCUCUACAGAGGUCUGAAUUUCAGAAGCACGGGCACAGAGGCCCAACUGCCCAACAAGAUGAGCCCGUUGCCGCGGUUGCCCUUUCUUCUUGUUUCCCGGCGCUAGCCUGCGGAAUGAAUACACGAGACGAUUAGUUCCCUACUUCCCUAGCCGCCGGCAAUUAAACACCAGACUACAGAUCGAAGCCGGUGCUUGAUGACACUGGUGCGUGGCUAGCCGUCCAGCUCGUCGGCAGGGGUUUGUCAGCUUCGAAGCUGCUUCUAAUGUCUCUGAAUUAUAACCUUUCUGCCCCACACAGGCAGCAGCUUAGUCAGAAGCUUACUUUCUAGAGAUCCCGCUAUGAAAACAAAUGCCAUGAUUCAUCGUGAACACAAUUUAUUUGAUCACCACUGUUAUAUGCAAGCUGCAGCGACAGUACCAUCACGGAAGAAACGAUCCCACUCACGUUCACAACGGCCAACAGCUACGCAUACCAGGUUUAAUUACCCGAACAGACCGCAAACGACAGCACGGCACCGGUCGGCGACGCGCGGCAGCCGACGCCUCAUCACUCCUGGCCCAGGAGGGCGAGGAGCAUGCUCUCGUAGUCGCCGGAGGUGUCCCCGGCGACGGCGCGCUCCAGUGGCACGCUGUUCCUCUUCUGGUAGGCCUCCUUAAUGUGCUUCAGGUCCACCUCGGCGCGGGUGGUGAUGACCCGGGUCAGGGAGCUCUCGUCCGUGCCCAGACCCGCGAUGGCCUGCCUGACCACCUUCUCGAAGUACCUGUCGGGGCAGGUGAGGCACCGAAUGAUCGCCCGCAGCGUUUUGAGGUACUCGUCCUUGGGAUCAGCCUUCAGAUCCUGUGGAUUGCGGAGCUUGUUAGGAAGCGGGUCAUUGAGGAAUUUACUAGAAAAUAGGAGAUGCAUCGUGCGAAUAUUUUUGUUGAGAACACUAGGAGAUCUGCGUAGUGGAAUAUUGGCAGGUCAUGCAAAUGAUACAUACAGCUAGUGUACAGAAAUGAAACUGAAAAAACAGCAAAACAUCCAAGCGAACCAUAACACAACACUUUUACCAGAUACACCAAUGUUCUGAAUGGCAUUUGAGAGCUGAGUAAUCUUUCAGUCUAAAAUCACCAUAUCUAAUUGACAAAAGUAAUAGUGUAAUACUUCUAAGUAGUAAGGUGAUUCUGCAGUGGCAGUUAGUAUUUAGUAAUACUAUGGUUUGCAAGGAAAAUACCAUUUUGAGAGAGAAUAGAUUCCAGCACCAAAACACAUGAGCUAUCAUGCGAAUGUUUUUAGCAGAAAUUAGGAAGCAGUGCUGUGAGUCAAUAUAGUCAAGAAAUGAUCGUGCAUAUAUCAACAUAUGAAAAAGCAACUCAUUCUCUUAAAAAGACUAAGGAAAUCUUAAAACAUUAAAUGAUCUAGAAAGAAUUUUCAACUACAGUUAUAUAUACUGAACAUGGAUAGCUUUGCCAGAGCAUUGUGAAAUUUCCAUACCAAAUACUGAACAGAACAAGCUGACAACAAAGUGUAUCUAUCUUAAUGGAUGCAACUGAUCUAGACAUAAGCAACAUGGAAAUCAAAACUUGGUCUGAGCACUAAACUAUUGAAUAUGGUUGAUCUUGAAGGGUGCAGGAACUAAAAUGAGUAAACAGCUUUCCAAAUGUUACACGUGCUCCUUACUAAUUGGAUGAAUGAACCAAACAGUGUAAGAACAAAGUCUAUCGGCAAAAGCAGGCACGAGUAGCAGCUUAUUAGUUUCCUUCGGAAUAUGAAUGGGUGAUUUGUAUUAAUGUGGGUCGUGAUACAUGUAAAUGAGUGACAAAAUGCACCAGUACAUGAACCUCAUUCCAUAACUGCAUAAUCUGAUUCAACUUUAGUGCAAUGCAGAAGACACUUAUAGGCAGAACAAAAUGUAAAUAAUAAUUUGGUUACUUCCUGUACGAUUUUAUACAGCAAAAGACAUGUAUGCACCUUGUUGAUUGGGUGGCCAAAUGCAUCGUUGUAAUAAUUGAAUGUAGCAAGAAGCUGAGCUUUGCUCCAAGUCGUGAGGAUUCUGAUGAUCUCAUCAUCACUAUAAGCCUUGUGAUGGAUCUUCUCAUGAAGUAUUUUGGCUUCCGAGUGUGCCAGCCUUGUGUUGACCUCUGGUCCAUCAUAGCGGUAUGCACUUACAAGUGGCACCAGCAGCUGAAAUGAAGAAUAAAGGUUAGAUCACAGAAUGUGGCAACGUUUCCUUUUUUGCACUCUUUUCCCUGUUGGUCAAAAGCUCAGGGAGCUAGCAAAACUAGAAUAAGGUUGCCAAAAACUAAAACGACAAUAAGCAUGCCAUCCUGUAAACUAAACCUGAUUCAGUGGAUGUAUUUUGGCUAAAAGGCGAGGUUUGUCGUAUGCACCGUUCGUUCAUACCAGAUUUUUCUUGAUAUAAAUGACGCAGAAAAAGAUUAGGUUAGGGGUCCAAUGCACGAUACACCCAACGACCAACCCCGCGUCCCACAGGCUACUAUGCUGCUAUGCAUGUGCAAAUAAAAAGCGAUGGCACGAAUUCAAACAAAAAAAUUCAAUAAUUUUUAGACCGGAGUACCGGACAGCCAAAUUGAAUUUAGAACGAACCAUUGUGUUCCUUGAUAAGAUCUUCGAAAUAAAACCAAACUUCAUUAUGAUUUUGAUGAAAUUUCCUCAAGAUUUUAUUUUAUAUAUGUGGAAUAUUUUCUCAAUGAAUCGGGAACAUGUGUUAUAUAUUCAAGAGAAAAAUGUUCCAUAUUUAUGAUAAAUUGUUUAGAAGGAAAAUACUAUGAUUUCAAUAAAAAAUUCAAGUAGAACAAGGUAUUAGCCUAGAACGUAUCGUGCAAACUAGCAGUAAAAAAAAAAGGCGUACGUUUGCCUGUUUGAGAAAAUAUUACUAACUUGAAAAAAAAUAUUUGUUCAAGUGUAACCACUGUAUCUGGGCGAAACGAGCAAUUGGGCCCACGUAGCAGACUACCAGUAACCACCCUGAGGCCGGAGCGUAAACGGACCGAUGGCACAUGGGCCGAUGGCUAAGCGAACAGAGAGUUCUUCUCGGCCGCAAUAGCAGCACAAGCAAAGUACCACAUUUUCGGGCCGCAAGUAGUACUUGCAUCUUCGAAUAACAUACAAAUUACAAUGAGCAUAUAUUAAAUAUACGCAUGCGCUUGGCCUAUCUGGUUUGCUGCUUCUGCACAUGACUUACGAAAAAUGUAUCGAAACUUGGACAGCAACCACACUUCAAUCAUAAAGUAAACAAUGAGCUGACCUGAGGUCUGGAGUUUCAGAUGCAUGUCAAAACAGAGGGCACUGCUGGUGGUUACAGCGGCUUUUGUGAUCCUGCUUAGAGAACACAUCAUCAGGAUCUUCCACACAUCAUGGGAGCUGCCAUAAAACCAGAAUGCAUAAUAUGACAUAUAGUAAGCGAAAGCCUUAUAAAUAGUGAUAUGCAUAUCCAUCAUGCACAGGCUAGAAAAUCACAGGAUUCAUCAAAAUGCUAAUAAACAAACUUUGUUAAAGGAUAUUUUGUUUCCUUAUUCUGGAUUUAUUUCCAGAAGAGAUAAUGCUCUCUAUAUAUGCCGGUCUCAGAUUUACAUAAUCAGAUAAUUUUAGGGGGCCAAGUCAAGAUAACCCAUAUAAAAGGGGCAUAUUCUGUGGAAAAUGCAAGAACAACGAAUUAGUUCUUGCCAUCUAUUUUUGGCAGUCAGUCUCCCCAUUCCUCAACACCAAAUAGAACCAUCUUGGCCAAAGGUCCAUGGAACCAAAACAGUUCUUAAAAAUCAAGAAUAUAUUGUUGGCCACAACAACUUGGUUUACUUGGUUUCUUCUCAGUAGCAAUUUCGGCCACUACUUGAAAGUAGUGGUUCAGCCUCAGUGAAGUAAAAUGUAAACAUUAGCAGAAACAAAAUGAAUCCGUUCCACUAAAAACAAAUUAGGCAAGCCUUAAAGAAGUAUCGGUGGGUGCUAUAAAUGUCAGUAGAAACAAAACUUGCUGAGCAAACACUGUUAGAGAAAAAGGGAAAGCUAGUGCUGUCAAAUUCCAUCUAGAUUAAAUGCUAUAACAAGAGCCUAUCCGCAGAAGAACAACUCACUUAAGGAUAAUCUUCAGCCAUUUGCUAUACAGAAGAAGCGACUAACAAACACGUGCAGUAAGGUCCUUGACAGAAUAAUAGAUAACCAUAACUUAAACUUGGGCUAUGAGCAGUCAGAGAUUACUAGUUCUACUGCAGAAAGAAGAAUUGGGAAUGCCCGCACCAUUGACAGCUGCUAAUGAGCGUGAGUUGCAGUUAUACCAUCUGC